UACGAAGGGGGCUAGCGUUGCUCGGAAUCACUGGGCGUAAAGCGCACGUAGGCGGAUUGCUAAGUCAGGGGUGAAAUCCUGGAGCUCAACUCCAGAACUGCCUUUGAUACUGGCGACCUUGAGUCCGGGAGAGGUGAGUGGAACUGCGAGUGUAGAGGUGAAAUUCGUAGAUAUUCGCAAGAACACCAGUGGCGAAGGCGGCUCACUGGCCCGGUACUGACGCUGAGGUGUGAAAGCGUGGGGAGCAAACAGG
rnacentral:rRNA from 1 species